GAAAUUUUCAGCAAAAAGAAUAGCAGCAAAUAACAGAGGUCUGGGUUUGUUUUGGAAGAGAUCCGGCGGUUUCAGUAUAGAGAGAUUGAGAGACAGAAGCACUGAUAGCGAAGUAGAGGUCCAUAGCAAGAUUUGGAUCGGGUUUGUUUCGUAUCCAGAGAGAUUGGCGCAGAGGCUUCGCUGCAGAGAUAGAGAGAUAUUCGUAUAGAAUCUUGGCCUAAUUGGUGGUUUAAGAUUGGAGAAGCUUCUCUGGAUCCUAAAGCAUUAUCAUCAGUGUGAACUGGAACUGAUACUUUAAAUUGGUAAAUACAUAUAUCCCUAAACCCUAAACCCAUUAGUUUUGAAUGUUCUAGAAGCAUUCUUCUAUUAAAGCUGGGUUGGCACUCUACACUGUUCGUCUUGGCCUCGAAAUGAAGUGAUGAUUUUACCCUUUCUGCUUGCCUCAAUUACGGUUUUACCAUUAAUUUACGGAUAAGGCCGGUGGAGGCUUCGAGAGAUAGAGAAGAGGUCAACUCUAAGACAGAAACUGUGAGAGCGAUGGUGAUCGAGAGACAGAGAGACGGCAACUCUGAGAGAUAAUAGAGGUCUGGGUUUGUUUGGGAAGAGAUCCGGUUUCAGUAUAGAGAGAUCGAUAGACAGAAGCACUGAGAGCGAAGUAGAGGUCCAUAGCAAGAUUUGGAUCGGUUUGUUUCGUUUUGUUUUGUAUCCAGAGAGAUUGGCGCAGAGGCUUCGCUGCAGGGAUAGAGAGAUAUUCAUAUAGAAUCUUCGCAUAAUUGGUGGUUUAAGAUUGCUCAGAAGUCAUUGGUAAAAGACUCAUCAAGGCAGCCAAAAUACUAGCUGAAAGUUUCAGUGGAGGAAUAAAUCAUGACUUAAAGUGUGGCAAUAGCCCUUACCCCGAUGACAGAAUUUCCAUGAUCUGAAGCUUUAGAACAUCAGAUUAUUAUCUCAACCAAGCCACCAAAAGUUGCCAAAGAGUAACAGUGGUAGACAAACUAAGAACAAAACUGCAGCUGACAUCAAAUCUGUACAGUACGAACUUUGAAGCACCCAAGUAUUUGGAACAUAAAAAAAUUGAUGAAAAAGUUCACACAGAGGAUCAUUCUAAGCACUUAUCCCAAAGAAACUUGAAGUUGCCUCCUCAAAUUACCAGCCACAUGAUGAAUGGAUGCAUGGAGCUCAAAUAGUUGUGUCUAAUAUGAGGAAUGUGACAAAUCACGAUGGUUGAUGCCUGGGAUGUUUAGAGCCAAUGAGAAUGCGUUACUUGAAACGACAUGCCUUUUUUACGCACAGGAGCUCAAAUGAUGAGGUUUUUGAUGCUAAAAAGACCUUGAUAGUGACAUAGACAUUGAAGCAUUGCUUCUCUUCAGCAUAUUCUGUGGCCUUACUUCAUGACAGUCUUGGAAUCUCUUUGGAUCAUGAAAGUUGGACACUUUCACCUAGCAGAUAACUCUCGAGUCUCGACCUCUCGUUCAUUCCUCUCGACCUCUCGUUCUGUCGUUCACAAGCCAGUGAGAGACUGAGAGUGUGAGACACCGAUCAACAUUAACCGAGUGAGACACCGAUCAAUUCACCUCCAUCAAGGCACAAGGCCGAGUGAUCUGCGAUUCACCUCUAUCAAUUCAGCUCAUAAGCAUCACCGACACGGAGAGUCUGAGAGUAAAGCUGUGGUGGCGGACGCACCGAGCCACCGAUCGAUUGCAAUUUCCCAAAGUUCCUGGUCAUCAAUUUCAGUUCACCGAUCGAAUUUCUGGGUUCGAUUGCUCUCCAGCAUCUCCUUUGCACUCCAGCCUCUCCUCCUUUGCUCUCUUCCAUAUUCUGGCCUUCUGGGUUCGAUUCUUCAACCUUCAGUCGAAGUCUUGCUUGGACGCUUGAAUACAAUUCAAGAAGCUGAUGGCUAGGCAGAAGGCAAGGGAAAGCUUGGGGCAGCUAGUAAUGUGAUAGAUGUUUGAACUUUGUUCAAUUCAUUUAGUUGUGUGCACAUUUUCAAUGAAGUGUCAAAUUGUGGACUGUAAUGGAUUAUUAAAUUAUGUAGAUUUGGUCUUCUUUCAGUUCUUUGAGUUGCAGUUUGCUUAUUAUAUCAUGUUUUUCUUCUUGUUUAGGUUUAGUUGUAGCUUGCUUUAAUGGAAAUGUAGAAAUGCAAAACAGGGAAAUUGAUGAAAGUGCAGGAGAGAUUUUUUUUUUUUUUCCUUUCGGGAUGUCCCGGUCCCGUUCGGGUUCGGGAUGGUCGGGAUCAAUUCUCAAAAAGUGCCGUCCCGUCCCGUCCCGAGUUUUAUUUCCGGGUCCGGGACCGGGAUCACCAGAAUUUCGUCCCGUCCCGUCCCAUGCACAGCUAUUGUUAUUGGCACUUAUAUCAAUUGUAACGGACCAGCCACUGCUCCUCAGCCAAGCUGUCAAGAAGCUGAGGAGAUUUUGUCUCACUGCAUUUGUUAAUAUCUCCUGAAAUCGCAAAACCAAAAGUUUUAAUGACUAAGGAGCUGCACUGUAACUUGGCAGACUUAGAGACACUGAACUAUGUAAUCUGGAUUGCAGAAAUCACAAAGAUUUGCCGAUAUAAUGCAAGUGUCUUUCAAAAUGACUCUGUUACAGAGCCCUUUCGUUUAUCUCAUAUUACAAUUGCACUAAUGGCCACUAAUGGAGUUCACAUAUAUAUACAUAUGAAGGAAAUAAGCAUGUAGAUCAUUUACCUUUGCAGCUAUUAGAUGUCUCUAUAAGUUUAAAAUAUAUCCUUUCACUGUUUAAUUUAUCAUUUGUUUCUUAUCCUGUGUAGUUGUUUCAAUGUUUCUUAAGUUGAAUUGUAUCAUCGCAAAAUAGGAUAAUCCUUUUGUUUUAAUCAAAGAAUUGAGAAAUAGGGGAGGAAUCAAAGAUAUCUUUUAUGAGAGUCGUGAGCAGAAAAGAUUUGGUUCCGCUACAUGUCAAAUUACGAGAAGACAUAUGAUAGUCAGGCUGAAGAGAUUCUUGGAAAUGAGGGAAAGUCAUAUCAUGAUGGAGGGCCUUGGAGGGGAGUAUUGUGCUUUGCCAGCGUUUUGGCUUAUGGAGCAAUCUUUGAGAUGAAGUGUUCCGCAUUAAGAACUUGAAAUUAAGACAUUGAACACAUCUGGUUCUUGGUCUAAAGGCACCAUUUAGGGAUGGAUUGCUCAAGCAUGUUGCUCAAGAUUUGUAAAGUUGACAAAGACUAUAUCCUCAGGCUGCUGAGAAGGCUUCACAGAUUGAUAAGCUGUUGCACUUCCCAAACAAGAUUCAUAAUUUUAUAAGUAGAAUACUUAACUAUCAUUAAGAUUCAUAGUUUUCAGUUCAAUUUCGACAGUACUUUGAACCAAGCCUGCAUUAUAUAUUUGUAGACCUUCAAUGCUUUUUGAGAAUAGCCAACUUUGUCUCUGUAUUUCUCACUUUCAUCAAAAAUGAAUUCAAUUUCAGUUAUGUUUUUCA